rnacentral:rRNA from 1 species
CCUACGGGAGGCAGCAGUGAGGAAUAUUGCGCAAUGGGCGAAAGCCUGACGCAGCGACGCCGCGUGAAGGAUGAAGGUCUUCGGAUCGUAAACUUCUGUUAAGUGGGAAGAAAGACUCGUUUCUAAUAAAAACGAGGGAUGACAGUACUAUUAGAGAAAGCACCGGCUAACUUCGUGCCAGCAGCCGCGGUAAUACGAAGGGUGCUAGCGUUAUUCGGAAUCAUUGGGCGUAAAGGGCGCGUAGGCGGCCUGUUAAGUUUGCUGUUAAAUCUUUCGGCCUAACCGAAAACUGCAGCAAAAACUGAUAGGCUAGAGUGUAAGAGAGAGAAGUGGAAUUCUCGGAGUAGCGGUAAAAUGCGUAGAUCUCGAGAGGAACACCGAUGGCGAAGGCAGCUUCUUGGCUUACUACUGACGCUGAGGCGCGAAAGCGUGGGGAGCAAACAGGAUUAGAUACCCUGGUAGUCCACGCUAGUAACGAUAGAUCACUAGAUAGUUAGUUUCUUGUCUUAGUACGAGGUAGUUAGUUGUUCGUUAGUACGUAACCGUACGGUUAAGGUUAGUAGUCCGUCCGUCGGGGUAAGGGUUACGGGUUCGGCGAGGACGUUAAACCGUAACAAGUUAGAGUUAGACGGGCGUUGAGACGUUGCCGACGGACGACGACGAGGGAGGAGG